rnacentral:rRNA from 1 species
GUGUCAGCAGCCGCGGUAAUACGUAGGGGGCAAGCGUUGUCCGGAUUUACUGGGCGUAAAGAGCGUGUAGGCGGCCACGCAGGUCCGUUGUGAAAACUGGAGGCUCAACCUCCAGCUGUCGACGGAAACCGUGUGGCUAGAGUCCGGAAGAGGAGAGUGGAAUUCCUGGUGUAGCGGUGAAAUGCGCAGAUAUCAGGAAGAACACCAAUGGCGAAGGCAGCUCUCUGGGACGGUACUGACGCUGAGACGCGAAAGCGUGGGGAGCGAACAGGAUUAGAAACCCCUGUAGUCC